UUAUUACCCUUGUCUUUUGCGCACUUGUUGUUUCCUGGGCGGGUUCGCUCGCCACCAGGACCACCAAAUAAACCUUUUUUAUGCAGUUGCAAUCAGCGUCAGUACAAACAAUGUAAAUCAUUUACAACUUUCAACAACGGAUCUCUUGGUUCUGGCAUCGAUGAAGAACGCAGCGAAAUGCGAUACGUAGUGUGAAUUGCAGAAUUCAGUGAAUCAUCGAAUCUUUGAACGCACAUUGCGCCCUUUGGUAUUCCAAAGGGCAUGCCUGUUCGAGCGUCAUUUGUACCCUCAAGCUUUGCUUGGUGUUGGGCGUUUUUGUCUUUGGUCGCCCAAAGACUCGCCUUAAAGUGAUUGGCAGCCGGCCUUUCUGGUUUCGCAGCGCAGCACAUUUUUGCGCUUGCCAUCAGCAAAACGGCAAUCCAUCAAGCCUCCUUCUCACGUUUGACCUCGGAUCAGGUAGGGAUACCCGCUGAACUUAAGCAUAUCAAUAAGCGGAGGAAAAGAAACCAACAGGGAUUGCCCUAGUAACGGCGAGUGAAGCGGCAACAGCUCAAAUUUGAAAUCUGGCUCUUUCAGAGUCCGAGUUGUAAUUUGCAGAGGGCGCUUUGGCUUUGGCAGCGGUCCAAGUUCCUUGGAACAGGACGUCACAGAGGGUGAGAAUCCCGUACGUGGUCGCUAGCUAUUGCCGUGUAAAGCCCCUUCGACGAGUCGAGUUGUUUGGGAAUGCAGCUCUAAAUGGGAGGUAAAUUUCUUCUAAAGCUAAAUAUUGGCCAGAGACCGAUAGCGCACAAGUAGAGUGAUCGAAAGAUGAAAAGCACUUUGGAAAGAGAGUCAAACAGCACGUGAAAUUGUUGAAAGGGAAGCGCUUGCAGCCAGACUUGCUUGCAGUUGCUCAUCCGGGCUUUUGCCCGGUGCACUCUUCUGCAGGCAGGCCAGCAUCAGUUUGGGCGGUGGGAUAAAGGUCUCUGACACGUUCCUUCCUUCGGGUUGGCCAUAUAGGGGAGACGUCAUACCACCAGCCUGGACUGAGGUCCGC
rnacentral:rRNA from 1 species